GAGAUUGGAUAGUAUAACCCAACAUGAUCACCCCCAAACCCUAUCAUUUUCUCUCAAUGGUUCUCCCCUUCUUUCAAAGCCGCCAACCCUCUAUCGUUCUCCGCUUCUCUUAACCGUUCUACCGCUUAUUCCUUCAAUCCUCUCUAUCGUUUCUCUCUCAAUCUCGUUCUUGUACCUUCAAUCCUCUCAUUUUGUGCGUGGAGGUUGCCACUUGCAGAAGGGAAGAGCCAUUCGAAAAUGUUGUCACCUCUGAAGGGAGAAGUCAUUCACGGCGAAGGUUCGGGCUAAUGGAGGACCUCGGUCUUGUAAUAUUUCUGAUACUCAACCAUGCCUAUUUUGCGGUACAUUUCGCAUAUGAAUUUGGAGCUUUUGCUUGAGGAAGAGCAACUCAUGACAAUUGAGAAGUUCAAUAAAUGAGCUACAACUUUUAUCGUGCCUCUGGAACUAAAGAAAGAAAGAGCAAAAGCAGCUGCUGCACUCAAGUCACUUCAAGAUAAACAGGAAGAGAAAUACAAGACAAAGCAGAAAAGUUGGUAGAAGAAUACUCAAGUAUACUUAUAACUUGUAACUUGUUGAUGUAGUACAUAACUGAUUAUUUAUAAACUGAGAUUAUAUAUGUAGCAAUCCAGUGCUAUAUAUUUUGAUUUCUUCUCCUAUGUAAUUUUUAUCA